rnacentral:rRNA from 1 species
UACGUAGGGGGCAAGCGUUGUCCGGAAUUAUUGGGCGUAAAGAGCUCGUAGGCGGUCUGUCACGUCGGCUGUGAAAACCUGGGGCUCAACCCCGGGCCUGCAGCCGAUACGGGCAGACUAGAAUUCGGUAGGGGAGACUGGAAUUCCUGGUGUAGCGGUGAAAUGCGCAGAUAUCAGGAGGAACACCGGUGGCGAAGGCGGGUCUCUGGGCCGAUAUUGACGCUGAGGAGCGAAAGCGUGGGGAGCGAACAGG